GGCUCCGUGGCUUAAUGGUUACGGCUUCUGCCUUACAAGCAGAAGGUUCAGGGAUCAAAUCCCGGUCGGUACCU
rfam:Culex pipiens quinquefasciatus supercont3.75 genomic scaffold, whole genome shotgun sequence.